rnacentral:rRNA from 1 species
AGGGAAUCUUCGGCAAUGGGGGCAACCCUGACCGAGCAACGCCGCGUGAGUGAAGAAGGUUUUCGGAUCGUAAAGCUCUGUUGUAAGAGAAGAACGUGUGUGAGAGUGGAAAGUUCACACAGUGACGGUAACUUACCAGAAAGGGACGGCUAACUACGUGCCAGCAGCCGCGGUAAUACGUAGGUCCCGAGCGUUGUCCGGAUUUAUUGGGCGUAAAGCGAGCGCAGGCGGUUUAAUAAGUCUGAAGUUAAAGGCAGUGGCUUAACCAUUGUUUGCUUUGGAAACUGUUAGACUUGAGUGCAGAAGGGGAGAGUGGAAUUCCAUGUGUAGCGGUGAAAUGCGUAGAUAUAUGGAGGAACACCGGUGGCGAAAGCGGCUCUCUGGUCUGUAACUGACGCUGAGGCUCGAAAGCGUGGGGAGCAAAC